UCGUUUAUCUCCGUCGAUACGGUAGAAUCUUGUUCUAUCUCCCCUCCUGUUCUCUUCCCCUUAUCAAUCUUUAUCUCUCUAAUAUCUUUCUCUAGGAGGUUCGAUUCUCUCAAAGUAAUCGUUUAUCCCUACCGAUACGGUAGAACCGUAUCAUCAGGCCAAAUUUCGUAAAUAAUUUUUUUGAAGGAAUAUUUUUAUUUUACAAUUAUAAUAUGAUAUAAGUCUACUAAUAAAAGAAAAGUCAACCAGCCAUCAUAAUCAGAAUAAUCAAAUGCAUAUCAAACGUCACAAUGUCACGCCCCGGGGUCCCCCUUUUGUUUGAAACACAGCGGAAAAGCGUUAAUUUUUUUUUUUUUUUUUUUUUUUUUUGAAAACCUGACCCCAGAGUAUGCCAGAUCCGCCACAAAUACAGGAAAUCCACUGUUCACACGGACAGAGUCUCCCCUGUAUUUGCACGGCGUCGCACAAGUACAAGAAGUCAUCCAGGCACAACCACAACAAAUGAACAUACAAAUAACCAACAGUUAUACAUUCAUACACCAUUCACCACAGUUUCACAUUUAUAUAUUCGGUACUUAAACAUAAAUCCACAUCUAUCAGUUAAAAUGUUUCCAACCACAGAAAUAGGUUUUGAAAUACUAAGAUGCAAAAUCCACAGAAAACCUUUUGAAAACUGUUUCCUACACGAAAACCUUUAUUCUUUAAAAACGCUACCACGAGGGGUAGAAAACCUUUUAUUUAACAAAAUCCAGAAAUCCGUUUAUUACAUUCACGAAAAUCCAUAUUUUCAAAUGUAAUAAAAAUACUGAACCAUAUAACUAUCUAAGCUAUAACAACUGAAAUAAUAAAGGUAAUAACUAUACCGAAAUAACCUGGGUCGGAAGCUCUAUCGACCGCUACACACGUACCUCACGUCUCGUCCCACUACUCAUCGCCCGCGAUACCUAAAAAAAAAAAAUGGUGGGGGAGGUGAGAACAUGUAAACAUGUCUCCCCUCCCAGUGGGUACCGCAAGCCGAAGAAGGCGAGGAGUACUCACCGGAUCAGGAAGAGAUAAACAACAGUAUGGGUAAGUAAAAUACAGUAGCAACGAUAAUGAACGAAUGAGAUAUAUAUAUGAAAGCACAACUACCGCUACUGUAAUGUACCACUGCAAGCAUACAAGGAUAUCAAAACUAUAGUAGCAAGACAACCGUAAAGAAAGAACUAGAAGUAUAUAUGCAACAAC
rnacentral:lncRNA from 1 species